rnacentral:misc_RNA from 1 species
AAGUCGUAACAAGGUCUCCGUAGGUGAACCUGCGGAGGGAUCAUUAACACGUUUCCAAACGUUUCCAACCAAACCGUGAACUGCCUGAGCUUCGGCUUGGGGAUCUCCCUGGGAGGGGCAAUUGCUGUUUCGACAUGCUGAGGAGUGAGGAUAGGCGCAAGCCUAUGCUAGCAUGGCGAGACUAGAGGUUCGACCUCGAGGCAGCUUCUUUCAGGCUAUUUUUUCUCCACUCUCUCAACUAUUAACCUAUUUCACCACUUUAAUACCAAUUGACUGAUCUUAUAUUCCUCGGGAGAAAUCCCUUGGGAUUCAAGUGUAUCCAACACUACUAGUACAACUCUUAGCAAUGGAUAUCUUGGUUCUC